rnacentral:rRNA from 1 species
CAGCCGCCGCGGUAAUACGGAGGGUGCGAGCGUUAAUCGGAAUUACUGGGCGUAAAGCGUACGCAGGCGGUUUGUUAAGUCAGAUGUGAAAUCCCCGAGCUUAACUCGGGAACUGCAUUUGAAACUGGCAGGCUAGAGUCUCGUAGAGGGGGGUAGAAUUCCAGGUGUAGCGGUGAAAUGCGUAGAGAUCUGGAGGAAUACCGGUGGCGAAGGCGGCCCCCUGGACGAAGACUGACGCUCAGGUACGAAAGCGUGGGGAGCAAACAGGAUUAGAUACCCCAGUAGUCCCUGUCUCUUAUAC